rnacentral:rRNA from 1 species
ACGUAGGGGGCGAGCGUUGUCCGGAAUCACUGGGCGUAAAGCGCACGUAGGCGGGCUGUCAAGUCGGCCGUGAAAGGCAUGGGCUCAACCUGUGCAUGUCGGUCGAUACUGGCGGUCUUGAGUAUGGGAGAGGGAACUGGAAUUCCCGGUGUAGGGGUGAAAUGCGUAGAUAUCGGGAGGAUCGCAAGUGGCGAAGGCGGGUGACUGGCCCAUGACUGACGCUGAGGUGCGAAAGCCGGGGGAGCGAAUGG